GAUGAAGAACGCAGCGAAAUGCGAUAAGUAAUGCGAAUUGCAGAAUUUCUAGUGAGUCAUCGAAUCUUUGAACGCACAUUGCGCCCUUUGGUAUUCCGAAGGGCAUGCCUGUUCGAGCGUCAUUAUCAACCCUCAAGCCUGGCUUGUUGUUGGACCUCAGGUCGCCGCUCCGGUGGACCGGUCUCAAAGACAAUGACGGCGUCCGUGGGACCCUCGGUGCAAUGAGCUUCUUCCAAAGCACGCAUCAGAGUGGGCUCGCGGGGGCCGUCUCCCCGUCAUAUUUUAUCAAGGUUGACCUCGGAUCAGGUAGGAAUACCCGCUGAACUUAAGCAUAUCAAUAAGCGGAGGA
rnacentral:misc_RNA from 1 species